CCUACGGGGGGCAGCAGUGGGGAAUAUUGGGCAAUGGGCGCAAGCCUGACCCAGCAACGCCGCGUGAAGGAAGAAGGCUUUCGGGUUGUAAACUUCUUUUAAGAGGGAAGAGCAGAAGACGGUACCUCUUGAAUAAGCCACGGCUAACGAAGAGCCAGCAGCCGCGGUAAUACGUAGGUGGCAAGCGUUGUGCGGAUUUACUGGGUGGAAAGGGCGUGCAGCCGGGAAGACAAGUCAGAUGUGAAAUCCCGCGGCUCAACCGCGGAACUGCCUUUUAAACUGUUUUUCUUGCGUACCGGAGAGGUCAUCGGACUUCCUUGUGUAGCGGUGAAAUGCGUAGCUAUCAGGCAGAACACCAGUGGCGAAGGCGGCUGACUGGACGGCAACUGACGGUGAGGCGCGAACGCGUGGGGAGCAAACAGGAUUAGAUACCCUUGUAGUC
rnacentral:rRNA from 1 species